CAGUCGCCGCGGUAGUAUGAAGGGUGCAAGCGUUAAUCGGAAUUACUGGGCGUAAAGCGUGCGUAGGCGGUUUGUUAAGUCUGUUGUGAAAUCCCCGGGCUCAACCUGGGAAUGGCAAUGGAUACUGGCAAGCUAGAGUGUGUCAGAGGAUGGUGGAAUUCCCGGUGUAGCGGUGAAAUGCGUAGAGAUCGGGAGGAACAUCAGUGGCGAAGGCGGCCAUCUGGGACAACACUGACGCUGAGGCACGAAAGCGUGGGGAGCAAACAGGAUUAGAUACCCCAGUAGUCCCUGUCUCUUAUAC
rnacentral:rRNA from 1 species